UACGUAGGUGGCAAGCGUUGUCCGGAUUUACUGGGCGUAAAGGGAGCGUAGGUGGAUAUUUAAGUGGGAUGUGAAAUACUCGGGCUCAACCUGGGUGCUGCAUUCCAAACUGGAUAUCUAGAGUGCAGGAGAGGAAAGUAGAAUUCCUAGUGUAGCGGUGAAAUGCGCAGAUAUCAGGAGGAACACCGGUGGCGAAGGCGGGUCUCUGGACAGUUCCUGACGCUGAGGCACGAAGGUCAGGGGAGCAAACGGG
rnacentral:rRNA from 1 species